CAGCCGCCACGGUAAGAUAGAGGAUGCAAGCGUUAUCCGGAAUGAUUGGGCGUAAAGCGUCUGUAGGUGGAUUUUCAAGUCCGCCGUCAAAUCCCAGGGCUCAACCCUGGACAGGCGGUGGAAACUACCAAGCUGGAGUACGGUAGGGGCAGAGGGAACUUCCGGUGGAGCGGUGAAAUGCGUUGAGAUCGGAAAUAACACCAACGGCGAAAGCACUCUGCUGGGCCGACACUGACACUGAGAGACGAAAGCUAGGGGAGCAAAUGGGAUUAGAUACCCCAGUAGUCCCUGUCUCUUAUAC
rnacentral:rRNA from 1 species